GUCCCCAUCGUCUAGAGGCCAAGGACACCGGCCUUUCACGUCGGCAACAGGGGUUCGAAUCCCCUUGGGGACGCCA
rnacentral:tRNA from 1 species